AGAUCAAGCGCGUAAGGGCGCACGGUGGAUGCCUUGGCACAGGGAGGCGAUGAAGGACGUGCUAAGCUGCGAUAAGCCUGGGGGAGCUGCACAGAAGCUGUGAUCCCAGGAUCUCCGAAUGGGGCAACCC
rnacentral:rRNA from 1 species